CCUACGGGAGGCAGCAGUGAGGAAUAUUGGUCAAUGGGCGCGAGCCUGAACCAGCCAAGUCGCGUGAGGGAGGACGGCCCUACGGGUUGUACACCUCUUUUGCCGGGGAGCAACGGGCGUCACGUGUGGCGCCCCUGAGAGUACCCGUAGACAAAGCCUCGGCUAACUCCGUGCCAGCAGCCGCGGUAAUACGGAGGAUUCGAGCGUUCUCCGGAUUUAUUGGGUUUAAAGGGUGCGUAGGCGGAUCGUUAAGUCAGUGGUCAAAUUGAGGGGCUCAACCCCUUCCCGCCAUUGAAACUGGCGGUCUGGAGUGGAAGAGAAGUAUGCGGAAGGCGUGGUGUAGCGGUGAAAUGCAUAGAUAUCACGCAGAACCCCGAUUGCGAAGGCAGCAUGCCGGCUUCCGACUGACGCUGAAGCACGAAAGCGUGGGGAUCGAACAGGAUUAGAUACCCCUGUAGUC
rnacentral:rRNA from 1 species